AGAAUUUGCGAUCAAAGUGGUGGGAGCGGCAGACGGGUGAGUAAUACGUUGGAACCUGCCCCANAGUCAGGGAUAACCCAGUAGAAAUAUUGGCUAAUACCGGAUAGUCACGAAAGUGUAAAGCUUUUGCGCUUUGGGAGGGGCCUGCGGUCUAUCAGCUUGUUGGUAAGGUAAUGGCUUACCAAGGCUAUGACGGAUAGCUGGUUUGAGAGAAUGAUCAGCCACAAUGGAACUGAGACACGGUCCCAUACUCCUACGGGAGGCAGCAGUGAGGAAUCUUCCGCAAUGGGCGAAAGCCUGACGGAGCAACACCGCGUGAAGGAUGAAGGUCGUAAGAUUGUAAACUUCUUUUCUGAGGGAAGAAUUCUUGACGGUACCUCAGGAAUAAGCAUCCGGCUAACUUACGUGCCAGCAGCCGCGGUAAGACGUAGGAUGCAAGCGUUAUCCGGAAUUAUUGGGCAUAAAGAGUUCGUAGGCGGUUUGUUAAGUUGGAUGUUAAAUUUUUGAGCUCAACUUAAAAAAAAGUAUCCAAAAACUGGCAAACUGGAGACUGGUAGAGGUAAGUGGAAUUCUGCAUGUAGGGGUAAUAUCCGUAGAUAUGCAGAGGAACACCAAAAGCGAAGGCAGCUUACUGGACCAGUUCUGACGCUCAAGAACGAAAGCGUGGGUAGCGAACGGGAUUAGAUACCCCGGUAGUCCACGCCCUAAACGAUGAACACUAGGUAUUGGAGGUCUCGACCCCUUCAGUGCCGACGCAAAUGCAAUAAGUGUUCCGCCUGGGUAGUACGAGCGCAAGCUUAAAACUCAAAGGAAUAGACGGGGACCCACACAAGCGGUGGAGCAUCUGGUUUAAUUCGACAAUAAGCGAGGAACCUUACCAAGGCUUGACAUCCCGAGAAGAUCGCCGAAAGGUGAUUGUGCCGUUAGGAACUCGGUGACAGGUGCUGCAUGGUUGUCGUCAGCUCGUGCCUUGAGGUGUUCGGUUAAGUCCGUGAACGAGCGCAACCCUUGUCUCAAGUUGCAUAUUUCUUGAGAGACUGCCGGUUUCAAAUCGGAGGAAGGUAAGGAUGACGUCAAAUCAGCAUGGCCCUUAUGUCUUGGGCGACACAGGUGCUACAAUGGCCGGUACAAUGGGCAGCGAAGGAGCAAUCUGGAGCAAAUCCUCAAAACCGGUCCAAGUUCGAAUUG
rnacentral:rRNA from 1 species